rnacentral:lncRNA from 1 species
CAAUGAUAACACCAGCAACGACAGGCACGAGAGCAGCAUAUGUAACCCAAGAUUCCCUCUUGAAGGUCAACAAGUAAGCAAAAACCGCAGUAAAAAAAGGUGCAGUAGCACCGAUAGCUUGAUUAAACGAGACAGGCAAAUACCUAAGCGAAAUGUUACAACCAACAACAGAUCCACAAAAAACAACACUCAAAGUUGCAACCUUUAGGAGCUGAGGACUGGAUUUGACAGCCUGAAGAGGCACAAUCUUGAAGAAAACAAUGGAAAGGUAACUAAGAAUCGCACAAGCAGACAUGUGGCACAUGGUAAGGAAAAUUGGGAACUUGAAACCAUAGUUAGAGAGCAAGUACUUAUUUAGAAGCAAAACUCCAAUAUUUGAGGAGUACCAAAGGACUACAAGAGAAGUAAUCAAAAGGGUUCUUUUCUUUGAGGAAGAUGAUGAUGAAUACGAUGAUAACACUGCUCUUGGAUUUGUUGAGGGUGAUCUUAUCUGAGCUUCAUCAAUGGAGAAAAAUUUUCUUUGUUGCUGGUAGUGGAAACAGGCGAUGAUUCGGUCUUUACCUUUGGAUAAACACACCUUGUUGACUAAUUUUGGGAAUUUCUUUGGCGAGGCUGUAGCAAUAACUAGUGAAGGGACCAAUGAUCCAACAGCUCCUGCUCUGCAUGAGGCAGACAUUAGACUUGCUAUGGGCAUAGCAAGUACAGAGGUUUGUAUGUCUCCUUAAUUCUAAAUUCAUACUGAUGAUCCUAAUAAUCUUUUCAUGUAAUCCUCUUCUUUUUCUUCGUCUAGUUGAACACUUGGUGCUAUAUUGACUUGUCUAUAUUCAUUACCAGCAAUAAGCCAAGAACUUUCUGUUUUAUUAUUCUCUUAGUUCUUUUCACGUAUUGAAUAUUUUUUAAUGAUAUAUUCUAUACUAUUGUCUUUUAUCAUUUGAAUGUACUUAAUGUUUAAUUUCAAGAUUUUGAAACCAAGAAAAGUCAAAUUUGUUUCUAGUCUCAUUUCUGUAAUUUAACUGUAGCAGGAAGGAUAUUCCUAUGGAGUAUGAAGGAUAUUCCUUUCUAGAAUCAAGGAUAAUCCUUCGUCCCUUCCUCUAUAAAACUUCAGUUCACUAUCAUCAUUUUUGCAACAUGUUAAUGAAGAAAAACAUGAACAGUUUUCUGCUGGCACAGUUUUAUGAAUCUGAGGAGGAUGUAAUCAAAGACUUCUAUAACCUCCGCUGUUUGAACAUUGUUUUUAAACCAUACUUAUAGCUUGUUAUUGCACUCUAUUUCUAGUUAGGGGAAAUCUUAUUAACUAAUUACCCAACUUCUUCUAGUAAUUAUAUAUUAGCAAUUUUGGUGUUAAUCUUUUGAGGAUUUCUGUCAAGACUUCUUCUCGCUCAAUAUGGCUUGGCAUCAUUCUGGCCUCUCUUUUUAAUUUUCUUGAUUGUAUUAUUUAUUCUUGAAAAGGGUUUACAAAAUUUUGAUUUAUCUUAGAAGACUAUGCGUGGUGGAUUCUAUCUUUUGUUCUAUCACUGCUUUGUUGUUUCGAGACCUUUUCAAUUGAUUUGGUUUGUUAAGGGUGUGCAUCGGGUUCGGUUCCGAACCAAUAAAAUCGGAAAACCAAACUGUAUUUUUAAAAUUUGAAUCGAAAUUGAACUACAUACAAGGUUGAAGCAAACCAAUUUCAAUUCGAUUUGUUUGAUUUUAUUUUUAGACAACAUUCCAAUUAAUCACAGUCGAGUUCUUGGGAACUUUUCUUUCAAUCAUAUCAAGAAAAGUUAACAAACUUAGCUCAAUAUUCUUAGGUGUUAUUGUUUAUUACUUUUUGCUUUGAUUUCCUUUCCCCAGUUAACAUAGUUUUUGGCUCAUUAUUAUUUUCAUGCAUACUAUAUGCGUUAGAUAUUUAGAGAUCAUGUGAAGCAUAAAACUCCAUGUAGAGGAAUGCAAGAGUGCACUUCGACAUAACAUAUUUUUUCGAGUCAUUAGUGCUCAAGAGAAGCAAAUGCUAAAGAAAUGAUUAAUAAACAUGAUUCCAGGGGAUAUUCUCUUUUAUGAAUCUUCUACUACUAACAAACUGGAAUCUGGAUAGUCUAGUCUACCCAUAACUGAGCCAGGAAGGUGAAUUAAGUACAGCGUACAAAAACAUCCUUCCAAGCAAAUCAGAAUAUAAUUGAAUAUACUAGAGUAUAUGUUUUGUAUAUAUAAAAAAUACAACACAAUAAUGCAAUUCCCUCUCUCUCUUUCUGCAAAAAUAAGAUGAUAUGUGGCCUGCAUAAUUUUAGUAACCUAUGUGGUAAAAAAAAUGGUAAGCUUCAAAAGCUCAUUUAUCUAAACCUUCUCUUUGCUUCUCCAUAAGCAACUACCCCAAGAACAGUCAUUGUGUAACCUGCAAUACCCACAAAUGUUACCGGAUUCCUGAAGAUGAAAAUUGAGAUAACAACAGCAACUGCACCUUUUGCGUUGCCUAACACCUGAUCACAACAUUCCAUAGGAAAAAGAAUGUUAAGGCUGGAGAAGAUUGAAAAAAACUGACAGCCAAUAAAGGAAUAAUCUUCUAAUUUUAUACUCACUGAUAUCCCAGAUAUGUAAACAACAGAAAGUUAAUCUCCAAAAUUAUAACUAUGAUGUGUUUAACGCUGAGGUGAAACCAUUUACAUAGCAUUUGCAAACUGUUUUGGAGUUUUUAUUACUAGGGCGUGUCAAUUGUUAAAUCUAUAAUAUCAUGAAAACAAUUUUAGAUUGUUCUUAAUGAAAAUAUUGAAGAUGUUUCUCAACAACAGUUCAAUAACAAUGCCAAACAGACCUAUAGUUAUUGUUAAUGGCAGCAGUCAAUGGGAUUGCAGUUGCACAAGGUAUACAUGUAUAAGCAGUGGCAUAAUUCACAUGAAACUUAGGAAAGACAACUGAUACAAACCUGGCACCUUAUUCCAGGACAUUUGGUUAGUUCAAAAUCACUUCAAAGUUGAGAAAUCCUGAAAUUAAUUUAGUUGAAACUCUAGCUAUAUCUUUGAAACAAACAUCCAACAUUCAUGAAUUAACAAUUUUGCCUGAUUUCAGGUUUGAAGAUGACAUGUAGAGUUGAUCAGGGUUGUGAAUAUAGCAGAUGAACAAUCAUAAUGAUAAUAAUUCUGAGCAUGGUUAAUGCAGACAUGACAUUAUUACAAUUACAGAAAUAUUUUAAUGAUAAUGUAGUUUGAGCACUUCCAAUUUCUUCAAUUGAGCAAAACUUCCUGCUUUUGUGCAAAUAAUUAGGGGAAAAAAUAGUGGAGAGUAAAUAAUGCUAACCUGGAGUGUCAGAGCACUUGUAUGCUUAGUGACUAAGAAGUUUGACAAGUUAGCUGAGUAAGCCAUUGUGGAAUUAAGAAGCAGCAAUACCCACAUGAACUUAUGUUGCCUUCCAAGUGAUAAGGUGGCUUCAAGUACAUUAGGCUCCAUUAUAAGUGCCGCAGGCAACAAUACCAAAACUGCAAUUGGUGACAUAUACAACAGCAAAUUCAUCGAGUUCAACUUUUCUCUGCAAUGCAUAAGAAUUGAACACAUGAGGCAGCUAUCACUGCAAUCUCUAUUUUGUUUGGAUUUUUUAAUGAUAAGCAACACUCCGUUUAAGUUGAGAAGAUACUGGGGAAGAAUAGAUUAAAACUUUAGUUUAAGAAGCAACUGACAUUAAAGCAUUCGCCAAAUUCUUUCAUUUUUAUCCACCCCCCCGCCCCGACCCAAAAAGGUAAUAUUACUUACAGACAAGAAGGGUAAUACAAAAUAUAUGCAUAGUUAUAUGGGUAACAAGAACAUGGGGAGGAUCACUGUUGCAUACUUGGUGAUUGUUACAGUGUGCAAUUCACAUUUUAUAGAGACGUCUUCACAAAUUUUUGUGAAAAUAAUUUACAUAAUAUCCAUAAAAAAACAGAACUUUAAGCAUGCAGGAAAGAUGUUUCAUGGCACUGGUUUCUUACUCCCUACUUUUAUCACAAAGAAAAAGAGAAGAACAAAUUGUCACAGGACUGCGACCACCAUGCAUACAUAUUUACUUCUGAAUUUGAAUUUCAAAUAAGUGAAAAAAUAAUUAUAAAGUUUUAUCAUUCCUGGCUCUGAUGUUCCUUAACACCGAAGGCACAAAUAAUUGUUACAUAUCAAAGUAGAUCAUUCCAGUAGUGAGAUGCAAAGUCAUGCAAACAGUGGAAGACAUAAGAAGAACAUUGCCCAGCAUGACUAUAUGAAGACCCUUGACAAGCUUUAUGGGACUGAGAUCCCAGUGAACCAGCCCAUUCCCCUCUCUUCCUUCAAUUACCGGAGCACAUAAUUGUGCAUGACUUGGGAAGAUUUGGUUCCAUCCAAAAAUGGUUCAUUGAACAAAACAUACAGAAAGCUAUGAGUGACACCUAUAUCGUAUAACAUUAUGUAUUAUAGUGACCUUCAUCUUGAUUUAUUCUAAUAUUCCAUAUGCUGAUCCAACUCUAGCAAGCAAAAUAGACGCAUUAUAUAAGCUAAGGCUACCUAUGCAAAAUCAUAUCUCACAAUAAGACUUCAUACCACGCAUGAAACAGCAAAAGGGAAAAAAAUUCUUCUGCAAUUCAAUGAAAAAAAUUGUGCCUAAAGAAAUUAAUCAGAAAUAUGAAAUGAAUGUAACAUUCCAACCAACCUUCAAAAUUGUUAGUGUCCGUAGAAGUAUAUGUUAAAACAAAUGCUCAAACUCCCAUACACACCGCAAAGAUCAAAAAAUGAAAAAGAAACAUGAAUGCACUCACUAUAAAUAUCAAGUUAAAGGAAGAAUGCAGUUACCCCUCAGAAGAAAGUAGGAUGCCCUGAAGAACAGACUUGAAGGCCCUUGCAGCUGUAGCACUUAUGCACAUAAUAAAUCCAUACAAAUGAAAACCUGGUUCACCCUGUCACCAACAAAAGAUAAAGUUUCAACCUCUGCGUGCAUUAGUACAUAGCAUACAUGAUUUUCAACAUUAGUAAAUUUUGAGAAUGCAUAUAAAUUUGCAACAUUAAAAUAAAACAGGAGAAACUUAAAAGAGUCACAGAAAAUUAAAGACACUUAUUCCUAAAAAAGAGAGAAAAAGUCACUAGCUAAUGGAUAUAAAAAUACCAAAGAGUCACUGUUUCAGCUAGUAUCAAGAAUUACAUGAUGUGUGCAAUAUAGAGCAAAGAGUAAACUGAGACAAAAUGCGGCAGGGGGCAAAGACUAUAAAUUAUAGAUAUUUGACGUGCAAAAGAAACGUCAUCCUUCCAGAAAUAUUGCAAUGAAAUAUCUGCAGGCAAUGUAGAUGGACAAGAGAGGCUAACUAGAGAGGUGUUCACCAUAACAACUGAAUACCCCAUUACAUUUCUGAAAAAAUAGGUUACAUAUUAAAAAUGAAGCAACAACCAUCAAGAAUGUACCAUGAAGCAACCCCGACAAACUGUUACAAGAACUGAUUCUACAACUUUGGAAGCCAAUAAUGAGUGGAAGGAACUAUCAUAGAUGGAUAACAGAAUAGGUUAAGCCAACUGACAAGAAUGCUUAAAUAAAAAUUAUAAGGGUCCAAUUGGUAGCCAGUUGUUUGAAAUGAUUUAGCAUUUGGAUUCAAAAUUAUGUUGAUUUUUUGUGAUUUUACAUUUGAAACACAAAUUCAAAUACUCAACCGUUUCAAAUGACUAGCUACAUAAAUGGACCCUAAGAGUUAUGUUAUCUUCUAUCUAAGUUAUGGCAUCAUUGGUCUAUGUUGCGGCAUCUUUUAGUAACUCAAUAUACUUGCUGCUUGUAUUUAUGCUGUGGUUACCCAUUUGACACUACUUUACAAGCCACCAUCACUACAUUACCUGCUACAAUCAUCAGAAAAGAAAAAGAAAGACAAAAUUCAGUAUAUCGAAAACCUUACAGCUAAGCUCCCAACUUAGGAUUUACAAAUGAUUUAUCAUUCCGAUAACAUCAUUCUGUUAACUGGUCAGUUCAUCAAUACUUAAGCUCCAAAAUGCUUAAUUUACAUUUAAAUACAACCAAAUCCCGCAGUCCCUUUAGGCUCCCUAUUCUCUUAUAGCAAUACCAACAAUAAUGUUCUCCAUGUUGGGGAGUUUUAUCAAGACCUUUUAUGAUCGAACAAUUAUGAAUUGUCUCCAGGCAUAGGAUCUAACACAGUUCAACAAUUCUGUCAUUUUGAUCAACCUUUUAGCUCUACUAAAAUGAGGGGAGGACUAUUUUACAUUAUUGAUUGCUUUUUUAAAAGCAAUAUCAGUCACUAGAAGACCUUGCUUAUGGUUAGCAUGUGAUACGUAGAUAUCACAGCAUAGAUUCAUUACAAUGGCAAGCAUCAGUUACCACACACAAACAAUAUCUCAGAUCUACACUAUCAUAAUCAAAUUGACAAUGCAUUAUAUCAACAGAAAUCUCAAAACUCAAACAGCAACAAAAAGAAAAAGUUCAGAUCAAACUCAAAACAAUAAGAAAUACUCGUAAUUUUGAUACAUGAGGCAAAUAAAAGAAAGAAAACAAAGAAAAAGGAAAGAAAACACACCCCACUAGCAAUGAUGACACCAGCAACGACAGGCACAAGAGCAGCAUAUGUAACCCAAGCUUCCCUCUUGAAGGUCAUCAAGUAGGCAAAAACCGCAGUAAAAAAGGGUGUUGUAGCACCAACAGCUUGAUUAAACGAGACAGGCAAAUACCUAAGCGAAAUGUUACCACCAACGACAGACCCACAAAAAACAAUGCUCAAAGUUGCAAUCUUUAGGAGCUGAGGACUGGAUUUGACAGCCUGAAGAGGGACAAUCUUGAAGAAAACAAUGGAAAGGUAACUGAGAAUGGCACAAGCAGACAUGUGGCACAUGGUAAGGAAGAUUGGGAACCUGAAGCCAUAGUUAGAAAGCAAGUACUUAUUCAGAAGCAAAACUCCAAUGUUUGAGGAGUACCAAAGGAUUAUAAGAGAAGUAAUGAAAAGGGUUUGUUUCUUUGAGGAAGAUGAUGCAGAUGAUGCAGAAGAUGAUGACAUUGUGCUUGGAUUUGUGGAGGGUGAUCUCAUCUGAGCUUCAUCAAUGGCGAAAAAUAAUUUUUUUUUUUUUUUACUUUUUUAGAAUUUUUUUUUGUUUUCUUCUAUGUGCAUUGUUGUUUUUUUUUCCGAAGAAUUUAUACGUGGGUGGGAGAGAAAGGGAAAAGUGUAAAUUUAUGCGGUGAAAGGUAUAAUCUUUGAAGUUUGGACGCAAACUAGAAUUUGGUGUGGAGUUGUUUUAUUGAUUGUAAUAUGCAAGUCCACAUCUUAUUGCAUAAUUAAACCUCACUUAAAACUUUUCAGGUUAUUACCUUCAUAUUCUUUAAUAAAAAGUUAAAAUAAUAAUAACUUAUAUAUAAAUUAAUUACAUAACUUCUCACUAUAUCUUGAUCCGAAUUCUCUAAACUAAAAAACGUUUUCACCGAUUUUAUGAACUAAGAAUGAAUUUAAAUCCGUAUUAUUUCUGUUAUAUAGAUCGCAAUGUUAUCUCAGUUUAUAAGCCUUUGAUGAAUUAAAAAUAAUGAAUCGACAUGUUAGAAAUGACAAAAAUUAUACAGUAAAUUUAUUUUACUUUCGAAAAGAAAAUCCUUGUUAUAUUUAAAAAAUCAAUUUUAUGGAGUCACCUUAGGUCUCCAUAUUUGAUCAUAUUUAUUGUUUACUAUGUGGAUUGGAUAGCUUCCUUAGCUAAAAGUUUUUAGAUACUUGGAGGUAUUCAUAUUUUUGUUGAUGUACCUCCAUACUUAGAUAAUUUAAUUGGAUUCUCCAUAACAUGUGGGAUAGUCUAUUCUAAAUUUUGUGUUUAGAGGGUUUCCCUGUGCCUUUGUAACCCAAAAAACCAAAAAACAUCUAUUUUAUGUAUAUGUAAGAAUUUAUUUCAUUUUGCAAUUAACUUUCAAAUGUUCGAAUGUUUUCAAUUUCACGUAAUAAAUUACAUUUUCAUUUUGUUUAUUUCAGGGGAAAAAAAACCCAAAAUAAGCCUUAAUCCGUUGUCUCAACUAGGAAAACGCAUACGUGUUUUUCCAAUUGGAGUCAAGCUCAAAGUUCUUUUUAUCACCCCCACCCAGGCCUCAGCCAUAACCUUAUAAAAAGCCCACAACAUCUAGAUUUUGUGGCAGGAUGGAGGGUCCAAGUGAUUUCAAAUAAUCACUAGAUUUGAUUCAAGUCCUUUUCUUUUGGCACAAUAAAAAUAGAAUAAAAACUGGAUGGAAGUAGAAUAGAAUCCAUGAAAGUGGUGAGGCUGAUGAUUUAGGGAUUGGAAGUGUCAAAAACCUCUGUAACAAAAAGCUUCCCUCUUUUAUCUUUUGUUUAAAUGCUGAUUUUCAAAUAACAAAUCUUAAGUUACGUUAGAUCACAAGAUUAGAAAAAACAGAGCAUUUCUAUGGGUAUCACGGUUGCAUAUCCUUCAACUUUGUGAUGACUUCUGCUCUUUCUUCUGAACUACCUGAGGAAACCAACCAAAAUACAUUUAUUGAGAUUGAAAAUUACAGUUUGUUACAAAUGUAAGCUUAAGCUAAAUGCUAACCUAUACUCGAAGCACAAAACAAGAUGUUUACAAUAUAGAAAGAGGGCUUGAACUUGCAUCUCCGCAUAUACCCUAACUUAUAGGCCACACAUGUGAGUGUUUAAAAAAAAAAGUUCUUGAUGCUUAGUUGAUUUGCUAAAGUAGGAUUAGCAAGAGAAGAGGUCAUGAUAAUGAACAUUGUGGAAAGGCCAUUGUACACAUCCAUGAGAUAAAAACCAAUAUACUCAAAACUUGAUACGUAGAUAUCACAGUGAAGAGGGACAAUCUUGAAGAAAACAAUGGAAAGGUAACUGAGAAUGGCACAAGCAGACAUGUGGCACAUGGUAAGGAAGAUUGGGAACCUGAAGCCAUAGUUAGAAAGCAAGUACUUAUUCAGAAGCAAAACUCCAAUGUUUGAGGAGUACCAAAGGAUUAUAAGAGAAGUAAUGAAAAGGG